CGAGAAACGUAUUUAGAAAUGUAGUUUACUAUAUUGUAUUGUGAUACGAAAUCGCGGUCGUUUCCUGUUUGCGAACUAAUUGUUUACUGCAAGAAAUCUCACGCAUAUCAAGAACACCGUCAGGAUUGGUUUUCGACAGAACGUUUUGUCUAGUGCAUCGGUGCAUUGACGAGAUCAAUUAAUUUAAUUUUCUUUUGGAAUCCUUUAGUUUUCUGAAUAAUGUGGAAAAACCAACAAUAUUUACGCGAUAAUAUUAUUAUAAAGUUUCUGUUAAUUUCGAUUAGUUUUUGUUAUUGUAGUCCAUUGAAAAAUAAUCUUAACGGCCCGAAAAUUUUCGCCAAAUACUUAUAUUGGCACUUUAUGUGUUAAUCGUUUACAUUUCAAAACGGGUAUAGAUGAUUUUCAGUUUAUCGUAUAAUUAAAAAUCGCUAUUAUACUCACUAAUAUUCGUGCUCGAUUUUACAUAGUUUUACGUAUCGUUGUACUACAGCGAUAUAAUAAUAUGUUGUAGAACCUUCG